rnacentral:rRNA from 1 species
AUUGAACGCUGGCGGCAUGCCUUACACAUGCAAGUCGAACGGUAACAGGUCUUCGGAUGCUGACGAGUGGCGAACGGGUGAGUAAUACAUCGGAACGUGCCCGAGAGUGGGGGAUAACGAGGCGAAAGCUUUGCUAAUACCGCAUACGAUCUCAGGAUGAAAGCAGGGGACCGCAAGGCCUUGCGCUCACGGAGCGGCCGAUGGCAGAUUAGGUAGUUGGUGGGAUAAAAGCUUACCAAGCCGACGAUCUGUAGCUGGUCUGCGAGGACGACCAGCCACACUGGGACAGAGACACGGCCCAGACUCCUACGGGAGGCAGCAGUGGGUAAUUUUGGACAAUAGGCGCAAGCCUGAUCCAGCCAUGCCGCGUGCAGGAUGAAGGCCUUCGGGUUGUAAACUGCUUUUGUACGGAACGAAAAGACUCCUUCUAAUAAAGGGGGUCCAUGACGGUACCGUAAGAAUAAGCACCGGCUAACUACGUGCCAGCCGCCGCCGUAAGAC